rnacentral:rRNA from 1 species
GCUAAACGCGAAGAACCUUACCAGCCCUUGACAUGGUCGGACGGUUACCAGAGAUGGUUUCCUUCACUUCGGUGACUGACACACAGGUGCUGCAUGGCUGUCGUCAGCUCGUGUCGUGAGAUGUUGGGUUAAGUCCCGCAACGAGCGCAACCCUCGCCCUUAGUUGCCAUCAUUCAGUUGGGCACUCUAAGGGGACUGCCGGUGAUAAGCCGGAGGAAGGUGGGGAUGACGUCAAGUCUUCAUGGCCCUUACGGGCUGGGCUACGCACGUGCUACAAUGGUGGUGACAGAGGGCUGCUAGGCCGCGAGGCCAUGCUAAUCCCAAAAAGCCAUCUCAGUUCGGAUUGCACUCUGCAACUCGGGUGCAUGAAGUCGGAAUCGCUAGUAAUCGCAGAUCAGCACGCUGCGGUGAAUACGUUCCCGGGUCUUGUACACACCG